UUCUUUCUAUUUUUAUUUUAAUUUUUUUUUUGAGUUUGGAAGAAAGAAGAAACAAGGA
rnacentral:ribozyme from 1 species